AAUCCAUAGGUUAAUGAGGCGAACCGGGGGAACUGAAACAUCUAAGUACCCCGAGGAAAAGAAAUCAACCGAGAUUCCCCCAGUAGCGGCGAGCGAACGGGGAGGAGCCCAGAGCCUGAAUCAGCAUAUGUGUUAGUGGAAGCGUCUGGAAAGGCGCGCGAUACAGGGUGACAGCCCCGUACACAAAAGCGCAUGUGCUGUGAGCUCGAUGAGUAGGGCGGGACACGUGGUAUCCUGUCUGAAUAUGGGGGGACCAUCCUCCAAGGCUAAAUACUCCUGACUGACCGAUAGUGAACCAGUACCGUGAGGGAAAGGCGAAAAGAACCCCGGCGAGGGGAGUGAAACAGAACCUGAAACCGUGUACGUACAAGCAGUGGGAGCCCCACCACUAAGCCAGUGGUGAACUCCACAUACGCAUCCUUUGCUGAGGAUACGGUUAGCGGAGCGAAAGCGACGUUCAACCUCAAAAGAAGCAGAGGGGGCUUAGUGGUGGGGUGACUGCGUACCUUUUGUAUAAUGGGUCAGCGACUUAUAUUCUGUAGCAAGGUUAACCGUAUAGGGGAGCCGAAGGGAAACCGAGUCUUAACCGGGCGUUAAGUUGCAGGGUAUAGACCCGAAACCCGGUGAUCUAGCCAUGGGCAGGUUGAAGGUUGGGUAACACUAACUGGAGGACCGAACCGACUAAUGUUGAAAAAUUAGCGGAUGACCUGUGGCUGGGGGUGAAAGGCCAAUCAAACCGGGAGAUAGCUGGUUCUCCCCGAAAGCU
rnacentral:rRNA from 2 species